rnacentral:rRNA from 1 species
GACGGAGGGGGCUAGCGUUGUUCGGAAUUACUGGGCGUAAAGGGCGCGUAGGCGGCAAUUCAAGUCAGCUGUGAAAUCUCCGGGCUUAACUCGGAACGGUCAGCUGAUACUGUUUUGCUAGAGUGCAGAAGGGGCAAUCGGAAUUCUUGGUGUAGCGGUGAAAUGCGUAGAUAUCAAGAGGAACACCUGAGGUGAAGACGGGUUGCUGGGCUGACACUGACGCUGAUGCGCGAAAGCCAGGGGAGCAAACGGG